rnacentral:rRNA from 1 species
UGGGGAAUAUUGCACAAUGGGCGCAAGCCUGAUGCAGCCAUGCCGCGUGUAUGAAGAAGGCCUUCGGGUUGUAAAGUACUUUCAGUCGGGAGGAAGGUGUCAAGGUUAAUAACCUUGGCAAUUGACGUUACCGACAGAAGAAGCACCGGCUAACUCCGUGCCAGCAGCCGCGGUAAUACGGAGGGUACAAGCGUUAAUCGGAAUUACUGGGCGUAAAGCGCACGCAGGCGGUUGAUUGAGUCAGAUGUGAAAUCCCCGGGCUUAACCCGGGAAUUGCAUCUGAUACUGGUCAGCUAGAGUCUUGUAGAGGGGGGUAGAAUUCCAUGUGUAGCGGUGAAAUGCGUAGAGAUGUGGAGGAAUACCGGUGGCGAAGGCGGCCCCCUGGACAAAGACUGACGCUCAGGUGCGAAAGCGUGGGGAGCAAACAGG